AAUGGAUUAACCUCAUUAGA
rnacentral:tRNA from 1 species